GACGAACGCUGGCGGCGUGCUUAACACAUGCAAGUCGAACGGAAAGGCCCUGCUUUUGUGGGGUGCUCGAGUGGCGAACGGGUGAGUAACACGUGAGUAACCUGCCCUUGACUUUGGGAUAACUUCAGGAAACUGGGGCUAAUACCGGAUAGGAGCUCCUGCUGCAUGGUGGGGGUUGGAAAGUUUCGGCGGUUGGGGAUGGACUCGCGGCUUAUCAGCUUGUUGGUGGGGUAGUGGCUUACCAAGGCUUUGACGGGUAGCCGGCCUGAGAGGGUGACCGGCCAAAUUGGGACGGAGAUGCGGCACAGACUCGUACGGGAGGCAGGGGUGGGGAAUAGUGCACAAUGGGCGGAAGCCUGAUGCAGCAACGCCGCGUGGGGGAUGACGGCCUUCGGGUUGUAAACCGCUUUCGCCUGUGACGAAGCGUGAGUGACGGUAAUGGGUAAAGAAGCACCGGCUAACUACGUG
rnacentral:rRNA from 1 species